ACAUUUGUUCUAGGCAGACUGACAACCGCCAGAUCUGGAGACCUAUUUCCCUGUGAAAGUUGAAUUUCAGAGAUUGUCCACUACUGGUAUUCUUCCAGAAAGGAAAGUCAUUAUACAUGUUUCCAAAGAUACCCUUCUGAAGCCAAAAACGUAAGAUUGUGGAGCAGUGACUAAAAACAAAUAUUGGAGAUAGACUGGCUGAGGAACCCAACCUACAGAGAAGAAUAAGACCUGAGGCACCUGAACUACAACUCCCAUGAGUCAUUGCAGCAGCAUUUCAAAAUGGUUUUUUUUUCUUCGUUUGGCCUGAAAGCAGAUACUUGGAAAGUUUUGUUUAAUCAAAAACCUACUAUUCCUUUGAAAAAAAAGUUUUGAUGAAAAAUUUUCAGCCAGCUCCAGGAAUUAAUACACUGUAGACUAUUUUUUCCAGUUUUAAUUUUCUAUUAUGUGUAUUGUGAAUCUACUGUUCUCUCAAUGAGUAUAUGAACACAAAGGUCGCAUCUGAACUUCCCUAAGCUCAGAGGCAUUUUGAUCUAGGCCAGACUUUGUUUAGUAAUGAGUGAAAUUAUGUGCACUUAACAAGAAGAGAACAUAUCCCUUAGCUUGAAUUAAUAUCUAACGUGCAUCCUAUUUACUAGGGUUAAUAUGAAACUAGACAAAACUAUUUCAAAAUAUAACUAUGCAAAUGAUUCAUUCAGACUGAUCUGUGGGAGGUUAGAAUGAAAUUCCUCUGCUCACAGUGAGCUCAGCUCACCAG